rnacentral:rRNA from 1 species
GACGAACGCUGGCGGCGUGCUUAACACAUGCAAGUCGAACGGAAAGGCCCUGCUUUUGUGGGGUGCUCGAGUGGCGAACGGGUGAGUAACACGUGAGUAACCUGCCCUUGACUUUGGGAUAACUUCAGGAAACUGGGGCUAAUACCGGAUAGGAGCUCCUGCUGCAUGGUGGGGGUUGGAAAGUUUCGGCGGUUGGGGAUGGACUCGCGGCUUAUCAGCUUGUUGGUGGGGUAGUGGCUUACCAAGGCUUUGACGGGUAGCCGGCCUGAGAGGGUGACCGGCCACAUUGGGACUGAGAUACGGCCCAGACUCCUACGGGAGGCAGCAGUGGGGAAUAUUGCACAAUGGGCGGAAGCCUGAUGCAGCAACGCCGCGGGCGGGAUGACGGCCUUCGGGUUUUAAACCGCUUUCGCCUGUGACGAAGCGUGAGUGACGGUAAUGGGUAAAGAAGCACCGGCUAACUACGUG